UGAGGAAUAUUGGUCAAUGGACGAGAGUCUGAACCAGCCAAGUAGCGUGCAGGAUGACGGCCCUAUGGGUUGUAAACUGCUUUUGUUUGGGAAUAAUCGACAUUACGUGUAAUGUUUUGCAUGUACCAUUCGAAUAAGGACCGGCUAAUUCCGUGCCAGCAGCCGCGGUAAUACGGAAGGUCCAGGCGUUAUCCGGAUUUAUUGGGUUUAAAGGGAGUGUAGGCGGUUGGUUAAGCGUGUUGUGAAAUGUAGAUGCUCAACAUCUGACUUGCAGCGCGAACUGGCUGACUUGAGUACACACAACGUAGGCGGAAUUCAUGGUGUAGCGGUGAAAUGCUUAGAUAUCAUGACGAACUCCGAUUGCGCAGGCAGCUUACUGUAGCAUAACUGACGCUGAUGCUCGAAAGUGCGGGUAUCAAACAGG
rnacentral:rRNA from 1 species